rnacentral:rRNA from 1 species
AGUUAUAAUGUCUAACGAGACUGCCUAGUUAAUUAGGAGGAAGGUGUGGAUGACGUCAAAUCAGCAUGGCCCUUAUGCCUAGGGCCACACACAUGAUACAAUGGUCGGUACAAAAAGCAGCAAUAUGGUAACAUAGAGCUAAUCUAAAAAGACCGAUCUCAGUCCGGAUUGAGGUCUGAAACUCGACCUCAUGAAGUUGGAAAUUGGCUAGUAAUCGUGAAUCAGAUAUGUCACGGUGAAUAUAGUUCCUCGGGUCUU